UGGAAACAGGGUUACAGAGGCUGGGACUAUUUAGACGAAUAAAUAAAUAAACUAGACUGAGAGUAAUGUGAUGUCUGGAUUAUGUGUAUCCUGUAAGCCACAGUAUCUUCACAGCACUUAGCACACUACACAAGCUCUUUAAAUAACUGUUCAAGAAGUACCGCCUAGCGCAAUGAUUGCCCAAGUCAAAGAGAAACCACGUGGCCAUAUUUACCUUUUCGAAUCACGUGACCCCGCGCACCCAAUCCUAUUUGCUGGUCACACUCCUAAGACUGAGGAUUUCGGAGGAGGAAAUGUGAUUGGGUAUUUUACGGGCAAGUAGCUCCAGGCUCAGGCCCCGCCUCUCUCGCGCUGGGUUGGAGGUGGGGGCGAGCCAGCGCAGGCGCAGUAGUUGCUGUCCGCCGAAGUCGGGUCUUGGCGUGCUCUUCACCCGAGUCCAGCAGGAAGGACAGAGUGGAGGAGUCGACAUUGAAAAGAGGGUGAAAUCAUAUAAAUAAGAAGCACUGAUGACUAAAAGAACUGGAAGACCUACACCGAUUCUAGUGCUGGCUCCACAACCAUGUACCAUGGCCUUAGGGCCGCUGGGAAGUCAUCCAUGGAGGAUGAAGUUACCCAAGACAGCUGCCGCUGUUUCUUAGGAGUUCAAGUCGUAAGCAGAUCGGCUCUAUGGCGUCAUGCUAAUUUGCAUGAAAUCCCCCAGCAUUCCCCGCAAAUGAGCUCUCGUUUCUAAAAUAUGAAUGUUCGGCAAGAGAUGCUCCAACAAGAAGAAGCCCCCCAUGCAGACGAGUCUUAGACAUAACUGCUCUCAGAGAAACGCUUCAUGUCCACGAACUCGCUGGCGAUUGCUCACCGUCACUGAAAGGGUAGUUGUCAUCCAUGGGGAUCAGGGUUCGUGCGAUAGUCUGUCAGCUUUGCGCAGUGGCAGUAUCGUAGCCAAUGAGGUUUAUCCGAGGCGCGAUUAUUGCUAAUUGAAAACUUUUCCCAAUACCCCGCCAUGACGACUUGAAAUAUAGUCGGCAUUGGCAAUUUUUGACAGUCUCUACGGAGACUGAAUAAA